rnacentral:rRNA from 1 species
AACGCUGGCGGCGUGCUUAACACAUGCAAGUCGAACGGGAACCUCUGGAUUCGUCCGGAGGGGAGAGUGGCGAACGGGUGAGUAACACGUGGGUGACCUGCCUCGAAGACGGGGAUAGCCACUGGAAACGGUGGCUAAUACCCGAUGGUCUCGGUGAUUCGGUUCAUCGAGUAAAGUUCCGGCGCUUCGAGAGGGGCCCGCGGCCCAUCAGCUAGUUGGCAGGGUAAUGGCCUACCAAGGCAAAGACGGGUAGGGGGCGUGAGAGCGCGAUCCCCCACACUGGCACUGCGACACGGGCCAGACUCCUACGGGAGGCAGCAGUGAGGAAUAUUGCCCAAUGGGCGAAAGCCUGAGGCAGCGACGCCGCGUGGGUGAUGAAGGCUUUAGAGUCGUAAAACCCUUUUCUGGGGGAAGAGAAAGGACGGUACCCCAGGAAUAAGCCUCGGCUAACUAUGUGCCAGCAGCCGCGGUAAUACAUAGGAGGCGAGCGUUAUCCGGAUUUACUGGGCGUAAAGUGCGUUGAGGCGGCUCUGUAAGUUGGACGUGAAAGCUCCUGGCCCAACUGGGAGAGGUCGUUCAAUACUGCAGAGCUUGAGGACAGC